AUUGAACGCUGGCGGCAUGCCUUACACAUGCAAGUCGAACGGCAGCAUGAUCUAGCUUGCUAGAUUGAUGGCGAGUGGCGAACGGGUGAGUAAUACAUCGGAACGUGCCCUGUAGUGGGGAAUAACUAGUCGAAAGAUUAGCUAAUACCGCAUACGACCUAAGGGUGAAAGUGGGGGACCGCAAGGCCUCAUGCUAUAGGAGCGGCCGAUGUCUGAUUAGCUAGUUGGUGGGGUAAAGGCCCACCAAGGCGACGAUCAGUAGCUGGUCUGAGAGGACGAUCAGCCACACUGGGACUGAGACACGGCCCAGACUCCUACGGGAGGCAGCAGUGGGGAAUUUUGGACAAUGGGCGAAAGCCUGAUCCAGCAAUGCCACGUGUGUGAAGAAGGCCUUCGGGUUGUAAAGCACUUUUGUCCGGAAAGAAAUGGCUCUGGUUAAUACCUGGGGUCGAUGACGGUACCGGAAGAAUAAGGACCGGCUAACUACGUGCCAGCCGCCGCAGUAAAAC
rnacentral:rRNA from 1 species